rnacentral:rRNA from 1 species
AGUGAACGCUGGCGGCGUGCCUAAUACAUGCAAGUCGAACGAAGUGGGUCACGGGUGAGUAAUAUAUAGUUAAUCAUCCCUACACAGAGGAACAACAGUUGGAAACGACUGCUAAUACCUCAUAGUGUUGGAGGAGACUAGAUCGUAUCAGCUAGUUGGUAAGGUAAUGGCUUACCAAGGCUAUGACGCGUAACUGGUCUGAGAGGAUGAUCAGUCACAUCGGAACUGGGACACGGUCCAAACUCCUACGGGAGGCAGCCAUAAGGAAUAUUGCGCAAUGGGGGAAACCCUGACGCAGCAACGCCGCGUGGAGGAUGACACUUUUCGGGGCGUAAACUCCUUUUAUCAGGAAAGCGGUACCUGAUGAAUAAGCACCGGCUAACUCCGUGCCAGCAGCCGCGGUAAUAC